UACAGAGGGGGCAAGCGUUAUUCGGAAUUAUUGGGCGUAAAGAGCUCGUAGGCGGUUUGUCGCGUCUGCUGUGAAAACUCAGGGCUUAACUCUGAGCUUGCAGUGGGUACGGGCAGACUAGAGUGCGGUAGGGGAGACUGGAAUUCCUGGUGUAGCGGUGAAAUGCGCAGAUAUCAGGAGGAACACCGGUGGCGAAGGCGGGUCUCUGGGCCGUAACUGACGCUGAGGAGCGAAAGCAUGGGGAGCGAACAGG
rnacentral:rRNA from 1 species